AGUGAACGCUGGCGGUAGGCCUAACACAUGCAAGUCGAACGGCAGCACAGUAAGAGCUUGCUCUUACGGGUGGCGAGUGGCGGACGGGUGAGGAAUACAUCGGAAUCUACUUUUUCGUGGGGGAUAACGUAGGGAAACUUACGCUAAUACCGCAUACGACCUACGGGUGAAAGCAGGGGACCUUCGGACCUUGCGCGAUUGAAUGAGCCGAUGUCGGAUUAGCUAGUUGGCGGGGUAAAGGCCCACCAAGGCGACGAUCCGUAGCUGGUCUGAGAGGAUGAUCAGCCACACUGGAACUGAGACGCGGUCCAGACUCCUACGGGAGGCAGCAGUGGGGAAUAUUGGACAAUGGGCGCAAGCCUGAUCCAGCCAUACCGCGUGGGUGAAGAAGGCCUUCGGGUUGUAAAGCCCUUUUGUUGGGAAAGAAAAGCAGCAGGUUAAUACCCCGCUGUUCUGACGGUACCCAAAGAAUAAGCACCGGCUAACUUCGUG
rnacentral:rRNA from 1 species